GCAGGUAGUCGGGCGGCAGCGAGUGGCAACAUUCGAGGAAAGUCCGGACUCCAUGGGAAUAAGACAGCGGGUAACCCCCGCCGAGCGUAAGCUUAGGGAAAGUGCAGCAGAAAACAAACCGCCUUGUGUAUAAGACCUUUUUUCAUACACUAGACUAAUGUGCAAGGUAAGGGUGAAAAGGUGCGGUAAGAGCGCACCGCUUGGUUGGUAACAGCGAAGGCAUUGUAAACCCUGUCUGGAGAAAGUUCAAAUAGGUGUGCAUUAUGGGUUAUUUCCAGCCCGCACACGGGUAGAGCGUUUGAGGUAUGUGGCAACAUAUAUCCUAGAUGAAUUGCCGCCGCGCCCUCUGGGGCGGCACAGAAUCCGGCUUAUAGACUACCUGCUCUA
rnacentral:RNase_P_RNA from 1 species